GUGUGUUUCUCUUCCUCCUGAAAAUUGCUAUGAAGCUAGAUAACAUGCUAAUGCUGUGUUCUGAACAUAGUUUUACAAGUUUAGUCGACAUAUAAUAUGUAAUUUCGUCGUUUUGGUGCGCACCCACUUGACUUUUGGCUGCAUUUCAACCGAAAUGUGUCGUGUUUGAUCACCGAAAGACACAGACUUCCAAACUAAAGCUGUUUUUGGGCCCCCAUACUGCACAAUGAGGAUGAAAAACUGAUUCACUGUUUGGGUCAUUUCACCAAUGCAGCCAUGAAGACUCCCAGCAGGAAAAGUAGAGGAUGGCUCCUGUGUAACGAGUCUCCUCCUCUUCGUCUGAGGAUGAGUAAGGAAGGAUCGGUCCAAUAUGCAGCGU
ensembl:lncRNA